AUGUACAGAAUUUACCCCCAAUUCCUCCUCUCGUCUUCAGCAACUACUAGUUGGUGUAUGUACAAGGAAGAUGAUGAAGAAAAAGUAAACCGCCGCCGCCUUGAACCGAACCACUCGGAACCAAUUGGAAGCCUGACCCUACUCCUAAUCCAUGUGCUCGAUCCGGAUGAUGAUCAGCUCCUCCUCCUGCGGCCUCUCCGCUCCUCGCAGCGUCACGAUGCUGACCAGCAGCGCGCCCUAGCCCCGUCCUCUCGUCGUCGCCAUUCUACUGCUCCUCGACAGAAUUUGCUGCAGCACCGGAAUGGGUGGAUGCUAAUUUUUCCCACAUGA
rnacentral:rRNA from 1 species